UGUGAAUCCCCUGCAGAAAGACACCAGCUCCUGGAGAUGCCUGCACUGGCCAGACCACCCACUCCUGCUCCUCUUUUUCUUCUAGGAGCAGGUUCUGCAAGUUCUUCAAGGAUAGCAGGAAUAUAAAAAUUCUCAAGGACCCCUACCUUCGGGGGGAGCUGCUGAAGCACACAAAACUUGAUAUUGUGGACUCCCUCAGUGUGUUGCCUAAGACUCAGCAUGACCUCAGCUCCUUCCUGGUGGACAUGUGGUACCAGACGGAAUGGAUGCUCUGCUUUUCUGUCAAUGGGGUGUUCAAGGAAGUGGAAGGACAGUCUCAGGGUUCUGUUCUCGCCUUCACCCGGACCUUCAUUGCUACCCCUGGCAGCAGUUCCAGUCUGUGCAUCGUGAAUGACGAGCUCUUUGUGCGGGAUACCAGCCACCAAGGGACCCAGAGUGCCUUGUUCACCCUAGUGCCCACAGCCUUCUCCAGCUCCGUGCCUGCCUUCUCCCAGGAGCAGCAGAAAAUGCUGCCUUCGUAACAACCAGUGUGACU
rnacentral:sRNA from 1 species